GACAGAGGGGGCAAGCGUUGCUCGGAAUUACUGGGCGUAAAGGGCGCGUAGGCGGAAUGGCAAGUCGGUCGUGAAAUCCUUCGGCUCAACCGAAGAACGUCGAUCGAAACUGCCGUUCUUGAGGAUUGCAGAGGAGACUGGAAUUCCCGGUGUAGCGGUGAAAUGCGUAGAUAUCAGGAGGAAUACCGAUGGCGAAGGCAGGUCUCUGGGCUGACACUGACGCUCAUGCACGAAAGCGUGGGGAGCAAACAGG
rnacentral:rRNA from 1 species